rnacentral:pre_miRNA from 1 species
CAGGGCCAAGACCUAGCCUUCAGAGGACUCCAAAUGAACAUUCAACGCUGUCGGUGAGUUUGGGAUUUGAAAAAACCACUGACCGUUGACUGUACCUUGCGGUUCUUA